rnacentral:rRNA from 1 species
GACGAACGCUGGCGGCGUGCUUAACACAUGCAAGUCGAACGGUAAGGCCCUUCGGGGUACACGAGUGGCGAACGGGUGAGUAACACGUGGGUGAUCCGCCCUGCACUUCGGGAUAAGCCUGGGAAACUGGGUCUAAUACCGGAUAGGACCACUGCCUGCAUGGGUGGUGGUGGAAAGCUUUUGCGGUGUGGGAUGGGCCCGCGGCCUAUCAGCUUGUGGGUGGGGUGAUGGCCUACCAAGGCGACGACGGGUAGCCGGCCUGAGAGGGUGACCGGCCACACUGGGACUGAGAUACGGCCCAGACUCCUACGGGAGGCAGCAGUGGGGAAUAUUGCACAAUGGGCGCAAGCCUGAUGCAGCGACGCCGCGUGAGGGAUGACGGCCUUCGGGUUGUAAACCUCUUUCAGCACCGACGAAGCGCAAGUGACGGUGGGUGCAGAAGAAGGACCGGCCAACUACGUGCCAGCCGCCGCGGUAAGAC